GAGUUUGAUCUUGGCUCAGAUUGAACGCUGGCGGAAUGCUUUACACAUGCAAGUCGAACGGCAGCACGGGGGCAACCCUGGUGGCGAGUGGCGAACGGGUGAGUAAUACAUCGGAACGUGCCCAGUCGUGGGGGAUAACGUAGCGAAAGCUACGCUAAUACCGCAUACGAUCUCUGGAUGAAAGCGGGGGACCGCAAGGCCUCGCGCGAUUGGAGCGGCCGAUGGCAGAUUAGGUAGUUGGUGGGGUAAAGGCUCACCAAGCCGACGAUCUGUAGCUGGUCUGAGAGGACGACCAGCCACACUGGGACUGAGACACGGCCCAGACUCCUACGGGAGGCGGCAGUGGGGAAUUUUGGACAAUGGGCGCAAGCCUGAUCCAGCCAUUCCGCGUGCAGGAUGAAGGCCCUCGGGUUGUAAACUGCUUUUGUACGGAACGAAAAGGCUUUCUCUAAUACAGAGAGCUCAUGACGGUACCGUAAGAAUAAGCACCGGCUAAACUACGUGCCAGCAGCCGCC
rnacentral:rRNA from 1 species